UACGAAGGGGGCUAGCGUUGUUCGGAAUUACUGGGCGUAAAGCGUGCGCAGGCGGCUCCUCAAGUCAGGGGUGAAAGCCCAGAGCUCAACUCUGGAAUUGCCUUUGAGACUGAGUGGCUUGAGUACGAGAGAGGUGAGUGGAAUUCCCAGUGUAGAGGUGAAAUUCGUAGAUAUUGGGAAGAACACCGGUGGCGAAGGCGGCUCACUGGCUCGUAACUGACGCUCAUGCACGACAGCGUGGGGAUCAAACAGG
rnacentral:rRNA from 1 species